CGGACCUUGUGAUUAUUGGUAUAUCUUCAAACCACAAGUUCCAGCCUCCAAAAGAGGAGAAUGGUGGCCUCCACAGGUGAAGUAGCGCCGCCAGACUGAAGCAGGUGUCCAACAUGGCGAUCACGGGGAACGGAUCUCUCCCUACAUCUCUGGCUUUAUUCUUGGUUUCGGCAGCUUUUCUUCUCAAAGGAUUGGAGUUGCAGUCAUCCUUACCAAGAAAAACAUCUUUCUGAUGAGAGAGAGAGAUGGUUUCAUGACGGUUCCAGAAAUGCGUUGUUCAGCCAGUUACAAGAAUAUGCUGCUGCCUUGCCACCCUUCUCUGAGCGCUAAAACGCCUCCUGUCCUGUCCGGCAUCCCCCUCCUGUUCCUGGGCAGCGAACAUCGUCGUGGGGCCUGGAGAACGAGCUACCGCACAGCCUGCCUGUCCAGAACCUGUGACACACCCUUCCCGUGUCUUUCCCACGGGCUUGAUGGCCAGCUCUAGGAAGAGGUCCUAGCAACAGAGCACUAACUCGCUGUCUCUCUCCUUCUCCUGGAUGAUACCCUUUUUGGGUGUGGAAACCUCCCUGCUCCGAAGUGGGCAUUAACCAAGAUGGUGCUGUCCUGUGGCGACGUGGUGCUGGUCUUGCUCUGUGCGGGGUAGCUGCUUGCCACUAGCAUGACAGCUGCUGGUUUGCUGUCCUGUUCCUUCCUAGUCUGAGUCGAGGCUCUUGGGCUGGGGUGUGGGUGUGGCUUUGUAGGGACCUGUCCUAAUACCUCCUUUCUGUCUCACAGAAUUCUGCUCUUCUGAGUGUCGCUCACUCAAUUUUUAGGGGUGCGAGGUUUAACCCAUUUCUAGCUCCUUUCAGCAGCCAUCUUGGCACGAGGCUCCCUACAAACGCCUCUCUCACGCCAUCACAAUUCUUACCCCUUUUUUUUCUUAUUUACAGCUUCGGACGUGUUCUCUCGGAUGUUCUGGUGCGAUUACAAGCCUUCUUUUAUUUUCUGCAUGUUGUUUUUGGCAUUGUAUUUGUUCAAUAAAGUUUUCUUUUGGUUUGUUUGUUUUCCAUUUUCAUGUUCAAGAUGAAAUUAGAUGCUGUUUUAACAAUCAGAAUGCCUGCACUGCAAAGUGAAAGCAGUUUGCACUUCACUUAUUUACAAGUAAACCUGAUCAGUCAUUAUGUGAAUAUACCUUCACAUUAGCAGGAAAUUGGAAACCAUCUUAUUAACCAAGGGUGUAGACAUAUUCUGCUGGAAGUUAAUGAACUGAGGAAUUGAAAUCUGAGACGCACACAAUUUUCUUUUUUUUUCUGCUUAACUCGGUGUGGAUAAAAAAGCAGCUCUCUAUACAUCAUGUUGGCUCUUCUAUAAGGAUGAUUUCCAAUUAAGAAGGGAUUACAGUGAUCUAUUAGCCUUUCUCUAAUCUUUUUAAGUACUGUACAACAUCAUAACACGUCCCAAGAUCAAGGUCAGACACUUAAUUUUUCUGACUUCAAGAUUUACUUCAUUAUUUGCUUGAAAAGCUAUUUUUUUCCUGCACUUGCUAACUAAAUAGGAGGC
rnacentral:lncRNA from 1 species